rnacentral:rRNA from 1 species
UACGGGGGGGGCAAGCGUUGUUCGGAAUUCCUGGGCGUAAAGGGUUUGUAGGUGGCUUGCUAAGUCAGACGUGAAAUCCCUCAGCUUAACUGGGGAACUGCGUCUGAGACUGGCAAGCUUGAGUGCAGGAGAGGAACGCGGAAUUCCAGGUGUAGCGGUGAAAUGCGUAGAUAUCUGGAGGAACACCGGUGGCGAAGGCGGCGUUCUGGACUGUAACUGACACUGAUGAACGAAAGCCAGGGGAGCAAACGGG